UACGUAGGGGGCAAGCGUUGUCCGGAAUCAUUGGGCGUAAAGAGCGUGUAGGCGGUCCGGUAAGUCGGUUGUGAAAGUCCAGGGCUCAACCCUGGAAAGCCGGUGGAUACUGUCGGGCUAGAGUCCGGAAGAGGCGAGUGGAAUUCCUGGUGUAGCGGUGGAAUGCGCAGAUAUCAGGAGGAACACCGAUGGCGAAGGCAGCUCGCUGGGACGGUACUGACGCUGAGGCGCGAAAGCGUGGGGAGCGAACAGG
rnacentral:rRNA from 1 species